CCAUCGAAGCAAAUCGCUCACUCGUUUCAGAAGACUAAUUGGACAAAUCGCGGUUAUCUUCACGACCACUGAGCUAAACUGUUAAGACAAGGAAACAAAUAACCGGUUAUUAAAAAACCAAAGAUAAUAGAUUAAACGGAACAAGCCGGUUCUUUACAAUAAUAAACCGGGAUUUUAGUAACCGGAGAAUAUUCCUAAAGUGUUUUCUUCCGAAAUUUCUAGACCAGCUAUACUCGUGCGUGUAAAUCUAAUCCGACAAUGACGCUUUAUCACCGCAUGAGUAAAAUUCAAAAAUCGAAUUUUAAAAAGCAAAAUAAAUUAAUUAGAAAAAAAAAAGUAAAUAAAAUUAGACGCAAAGUCAUUUUCAUAAGAGAAACAUUAGGAAAAUACAACUUGUAAAACGCGUAAGAGUAAUUUAACCAAUUUAAUAUGAAUAUACAUAGAUAUAAUUAAAAUGUACAUAUCUAUGCAAGUGUACUUUGUCAGAGUACGGAGAUUUGGCUGUCCAACCAAACAAGUUGCCUAAAUUUGAUAAUUACGUUUCCCAUUAUCAAAUAAUUCGUUUUAAGAAAAAACUAUUAUGACUUAAUUAAAUUCAAAGAUUCUAAUACGAUUAAUAUAAGAAAAAUAAAAACAGAGCAAAGAAGAAAAACAGAGGAAUUUGAAAUUUAGAUAACUUACGUGAGAAGUUGGUAAAGAUUUGGCAGCUUCAAUGGUUCGAAUAAAUUGUUGCAUGUUAUCAUCACAAGAUGCAGCGUCAUCGGCGUGUUCGACGCCAUAGACAAGCAUCCCUUUAAGACCCGUAGCUUCAUAAACGCUUCUCACGCGCUGAGCGGCUGCGUCGGCAUCUUCACCGGCGCAAAAAUGGUCAUAAAACGUACCUUUCACAAGCCCUAAAACCAUGCCACGCGUCACGGCGGCGUCCAUAAGUUUAGAGCUCAUGACCCACGUUCCUAGAUCGACCAUAGGACCUAUCGCCGCCGCAUGCAACACGGCGGUGGAACGGAGGAGAUCAGAGGUUGGGACAGAGGAGAAAAGACGGGCUUGAUCGGAGAGAUCGAGACCAUCGUGAGUUUCUUCGGUUGGUUUUGGGUGGUGGAGAGGUGGUUCCGGUGCUUGUUGUCCAAAGGAGAGAAUCUCCGGGACGACGGCGGUGGAAGCAGUCACGGUGGGAGGACCCACCGGGCUAAAAGCGGGUAAACGGUAAGAUCGUCGGAUAAAGUUUGUUCGGAGAAGACGGGUUGCCAUAAAAUUCAAAGAUUUUGUUUUUGAAAACGAAAA
rnacentral:lncRNA from 1 species